rnacentral:tRNA from 6 species
GCGCGCUUAGCUCAGCGGUAGAGCAUCAGUAUCACACACUGGGGGUCGCAGGUUCAAAUCCUGCAGCGCGCACCA